CUAAGGUGGGAUAGAUGAUUGGGGUGAAGUCGUAACAAGGUAGCCGUAUCGGAAGGUGCGGCUGGAUCACCUCCUUUCUAAGGAAUAGGAAACCAUUGUGUUCGUUUUGUUUAGUUUUGAGAGGUCUUGUGGGGCCUUAGCUCAGCUGGGAGAGCGCCUGCUUUGCACGCAGGAGGUCAGCGGUUCGAUCCCGCUAGGCUCCAUUAGGAUAGAAUCCUACUGAACUUCUUAAUAUCCUAAGAUUAGCACAUUGAAAAUUGAAUAACGAUAUCAAAUAGUAACAAGAAAAUAA
rnacentral:misc_RNA from 1 species